UAACUGGAGAGUUUGAUCCUGGCUCAGAAUGAACGCUGGCGGCGUGCUUAACACAUGCAAGUCGAACGAGAAAGGGAUUGCUUGCAAUCCUGAGUAGAGUGGCGCACGGGUGAGUAACACGUAGAUAAUCUACCUUCAAGCCCGGGAUAACCCUUCGAAAGGAUGGCUAAUACCGGAUGCAGUUUCAGUACACAAGUGCUGAGAUGAAAGAUUGCCUCUUCUUGAAAGCAAUUGUUUGGAGAUGAGUUUGCGUACCAUUAGCUUGUUGGUGGGGUAAAAGCCUACCAAGGCUGCGAUGGUUAGCUGGUCUGAGAGGAUGAUCAGUCACACUGGAACUGGAACACGGUCCAGACUCCUACGGGAGGCAGCAGUGAGGAAUUUUGCGCAAUGGGGGAAACCCUGACGCAGCAACGCCGCGUGAGUGAAGAAGGCCCUUGGGUCGUAAAGCUCUGUCAACUGGGAAGAAGUUGUUAUUAUUUAAUAAAUGAUAGCAUUGACGGUACCAGUGGAGGAAGCGCCGGCUAACUCCGUGCCAGCAGCCGCGGUAACACGGGGGGCGCAAGCG
rnacentral:ncRNA from 1 species